rnacentral:tRNA from 1 species
GGGCGGGUGGUGAAAUUGGUAGACACGCAAGCUUGAGGUGCUUGUGACAGCAAUGUCUUGGAGGUUCAAGUCCUCUCUCGCCCA